rnacentral:rRNA from 1 species
AUUGAACGCUGGCGGCAUGCCUUACACAUGCAAGUCGAACGGUAGAGGGGGCAACCCCUUGAGAGUGGCGAACGGGUGAGUAAAGCAUCGGAACGUGCCCAGUAGUGGGGGAUAGCCCGGCGUAAGCCGGAUUAAUACCGCAUACGACCUACGGGUGAACGGGGGGGAUCGCAAGACCUCUCGCUAUUGGAGCGGCCGAUGUCAGAUUAGGUAGUUGGUGGGGUAAAGGCCUACCAAGCCGACGAUCUGUAGCUGGUCUGAGAGGACGACCAGCCACAAUGGGACUGAGACACGGCCCAGACUCCUACGGGAGGCAGCAGUGGGGAAUUUUGGACAAUGGGCGCAAGCCUGAUCCAGCCAUGCCGCGUGCGGGAAGAAGGCCUUCGGGUUGUAAACCGCUUUUGUCAGGGAAGAAAUCUUCUGGGUUAAUACCCUGGGAGGAUGACGGUACCUGAAGAAUAAGCACCGGCUAACUACGUGCCAGCCGCCGCGGUAA